GAAAUGCUAAAGUGCAAAUGUAGGGUUUUAUUUAUUUAUUUAUUUAUUUUUAUUUAUUUUGAGACAAGGUCUCACUCUGUCACCCAGGCUGCAGUGCAGUGACACCAUCACAGCUCACUGCAAACUUGAUCUCCUGGACUCAAGCCAUCCGCCCACGUCAGCCCCCCAAAGUGCUCAGAUUAUACGCAUGAGUCACCACAUCAGACCCUGCAAAUGUAGAUUUUUGAAAAAACAACUGCAACAUUUUAGCCCUUUUUAAAAUCAGGACCCCUAGGUCUUUCCCAAUAUAACUAACCAGCCAGUGAUUCCUCACUCACCUACCUUUUUUUUUUUUUUUUUUUUUUUUUUUUUUUUGAUACGGAGUCGCACUCUGUCACCCAGGCUGGAGCGCAGUGGCGCGAUCUUGGCUCGAUGCAACCUCCGCCUCCCGGGUUCAAGCGAUUCUUCUGCCUCAGCCUCCCGAGUAGCUCGGACUAUAAGUACCCGUCACCACGCCCGGCUAAUUUUUGUAUGUUUAGUAGAAAUGGGGUUUCGCCGUAUUGGCCAGGCUGGUCUCGAACCCCUGACCUUGCUAUCCACCCACCUCAGCCUCCCAAAGUGUUGGGAUUACAGGCAUGAGCCACCGCGCUCAGCCCACUCUCUUUUAAAUGCAGAUCUUCUGUGGGAGGAUUAAGUCACUGAGCCCACAGGGAACUGUGCUGGGAGUGGAAGUGGAGGGUGUGGAAAGCCGGUGGAAAACAAAUCUGUGGAUAGCCUGUAGGGCAGAUGCCUGAGGCUUGGGGAGACUGGGAAAGCAGGUCUCUAAAAGGAACUUCAUCCUUUUUCUCCUAGGCCUCAGAUGAUGCUAGAGUCCUGCCAGAAAUUGCAAAUGAUUCUGGCUCACUUUUGUAUUAGCGUAGGUGCGUAGCCCAGAGUCUAGAAGAGCAACAACAACGACAAUAAAAUUCAGUCUGUCCUUGAGGCAUUUUCAUGAGAUAAUAUUAAAUAUAUAAUUAAAUACUACUCAUUGUUUUUUCUCACAAAUAUAUACCCACCACCUACCAGGAACUGUCCCAGAAAUUGAUGAGGAAAAAAUGAUUUUUACGCCAUAACUAAUCAUACCGUAAUAUGCACUAGAAUAAGCAAAGAACGUAAAAUAGUAUAUCAUGGGGACAUUCGAAUUUAUAAUCCUAGGAGUGACAUGUAAGCUGGGCUUGAAAGAAUAACCAUAAUUUUGCUGAACUAAUAAGUAGGUUGUGGAAGAGAGUGCUAGCUGAUUAGGAAAACCUCUGCUCUCCUAAGCACGCAGUUAAACGGUGUUUUCCAUACGUUUUUUGCCGUUAAGUGUGGUCAUGUGACUGAGUUCUAACCAAUUAGAAUGAGACGGCAAGGGAUGUGUAGCUUUUUCAAUCCUGGCCAUAACAUUCUUCUUCAUGCGCUUCUCAAUGUCCUUUCUCCUUUCAUUAGGUAAAAUGGAGAUGAUCCCCAGGGCCAUCUUGGAAGCAGUUUUUGAAGUUGGUAGAGUCUCGGGCCCGCUUAACUGCUGAAAGAGUAGGAAGGGGUCCGUUUCAUUAGCACGUUCAACCAAAAAGCGCUGUUAGGUUUCCUGCACCACAAGGUUCCUUUCACUUACAAAAAAAUUUUUUUUAUAUUACACCAUCUUUAUUUGUACCUUCAGUAAGAACAGUUUCAGCAUCAACUAAUGAACAGUAGCCAAACCAGAGAGCAGUCAAAAGUGUUUUAAAGGGAGCAGCAUCAGCUGAUGUUCUGCCAAGUCUCUGGGUGUCCAGGACCAUGGUCCCCCGGCACUUCCAGGCCCCUGUGGGCUGCAGGUGGAUCCCCAGGAGCCAAAGGGCCUCUCAGGAAAGGGUGGAACUUGGCCUCGCAGUCAGCUGGCUUCUGCCUAUUAUGGUCAUCUUCUUUCCAGAGGUCUUGCUAUCUCAGUGGACAUGGCGGUCAUCCAGCCGUCCUGGGCUGUUUUCUCAUAGAAGAGGAUCUCCCUCUGAAAACUGUGUCAUCCUUCAAUUCCUGGGCCAAGUCUGGGGACACAUCUUUUCUUAAAGCCUGCUGAUAUGACGAGCAGUUCCCAUUUUCCUGCACUUUACGAAGUCUCUGAGGUGCAAGCAGUAGACAUCCUUCUCCAUGGACUCCCCCUGAGGCUGCUUCAUGUGUUUUCAGGGCAGUUCAGGCAGAUCGGAAACCACUGGCUGCAGCUUCGGGAUGUCCCUCUCCAGCUGUGCCCUUGAACCCUGCAGAGAGACCUGCUCGCUGAGCAGACCUUGGACUUGUGCUGUGAGUUCUGUACUCCUUUGGGUUUCUUCUCACAAUCGUAUGUCUGCUUUACCAGUCUUUCCCUCGGGACAUUCGAAGGAAGCACCUAAAUUACCAUUGUCAUCCAUGCUUUCAGAGGGACUUGCGGCCACGAUGCUGGGGGACCACCCUGUUCUGCUUCCCUGUUCCCCUCCACUGCCAAGUCCUCAUUUUCCAUGUCGUCUUUCCUGGUGCAGAUGAAGGGUGCUCAGCAGAGCGUGAGCCACCAGGGAAGCCACUCGCCUACUCCAGUUCGAAUAUUGGGGACUUGAGGCCUUCUUGUCUUUUUUGUGUGUGUGUGGCGUCUGAUUUACAACUUCUUGGUCGGGCAGCUCUGCGGGUUGCUGAUGGUCCAUGCUGUCAUUCACAUCGUCCGUGGUGUGCACUGGAAGAUCUCCAUGCUGUGAAGCGUGUAGGAUGUGCUUCACAUCAGUCACUUGGGGAAGUUCAGGAGGCUGCUUUUUCAUGCUUUUUUCAGAAGCUCACCUAGGUUAGGUCCUGAUCGAAAAACCUGCUCAUUUCCAUUAGAACCUUCAAGCAGAGUGUUUGGAGCAAUCAAGGACUGGCCCCAGCAUGGAUAAUAGGUAGCUACCACAGGUGUCGGCUGCUGGCUGCAUCUUGGCGCAGGCCUUUCUGUGGGCCUCACCUUAGACUGAAGCCCUUUGGGCCAGCCCUUCCCUCCUUCUCACUGCGUGUCGUCUCCUGACCAGAGAGGCCAUCACAGCGGUGCACGCCCAGCUCACCCAGAGUAUCCCUAGGGUCGCUGGCACUGGUCCCAGGAUUCUGUACAUCACUAAUUACUGCUGCCCACAGGUGGGCCAGCAGCAGUUGAGGAGGCAUUUCGUGGUGAGCAGCAGGUCCUUCGUGGCUCUUGAGGGCUCCACAGCUCUUCCUCUUUUCUCUACUGGUAUGUGGGCCACAACUGACCACUCAGAACCCUGCAGAGUGUUCCACCUCUAACACAAACAAGGGCUCGCCAACCAGGGUAAACCAUCCAUUAAGCUGGGGGAGGAAAGGCACCGCAAAUUCUAGAAAACUGUGUCCCUGAUUUUGCUGUGCAAAUAGAAAGUGACAUUACUUAACACAGUGCCUUGGAAGAGGGGAAAGAGUUCACGGCAAUCCCCAGCUCAGGCCACUCCAGGUCCCACCUGGCCUUACAGCAUAGCUAGAGGGUCAAAGCCAGUCAAAGCCCCGUGUCCACGCCUGAUCCUCUCAGGGCAGCGUGAUGGCCCGUCCCUGGUGGGGCUCAUUACCCUGAUUUCAAGUUUCCUUCUGCUACAGGGAAGCCUGGUCCCGCCUACAAAGAGACUGUCUACCUUGCUAGAUUGAACUAUAGGACUAUGUUUUCUUCAUCUCUGUAACCCCAGCAGCUCUCCAGAGACCCUUAUACACUAGGGGCAUGGUCAUUGCUUGUCUUGUUUUCUUGUUGACUCUAGACUGACUGAAGGCACGUCGCUUUCCCCUCUAGAUCUCCAUAUUCAGAUCUGUGAAUGACAGUAAGUGGGUGAAGGCCCCUCUAGCUUUAAAACCCCUCCAAUACAGAGAGAACACUGAAACCGCAAGCAGAAGCUGAGUGUGGUGAGUGGAGCAUUUUCCCUGGCAUGAUGGAGGGGACCUAUGGAUCUGGCUAUGAGGGUGGCAUCUGGCCACUUGAAUGGCUCUGCAGAGCUGGACCCUAGUUUUCAAAUCAGACUCAAGAAUGAUUUUAGUGUGGGUGGUUUUGUGGGGCAUAUAUUGUUUGAGACUUUGUUAUUGACACAACAGCUUCUGGAAGUCUUUUUGACAGAGAGUAUGCGCAGGUGCGGCCUCCAUCUGCUCGGCAGCCACUGUCUGGUGACGGUGAGCGCUGAGAGCUGGAUGGUCCUGUUAGAAAGGCAGCAUGCCAGCCUCCGGUGAUGAGCAGAGUGACCCGACCUUGUCUCUCCUUCCCCGUGGAGCACUGCAGGCUCUUCCCCAGACCUGCUUCUAGGCUUCCCUUCACCCGCUCCCACCAGGCAGCUGAGGCCACUCUAGGAUUCCAUUUUUAGUUGUACUUUUUUUUAAUUGAUCAUUUUGUGAGCAUUUUUCUCUCUAAUGCAACAGAACUAGCACAAGUCCUUAAAAAUGUAGGAUCUCUCAGCUCCCACAAAAACACAGAUGAUGGCCUAUGUAAUUCUCUACAUAUUUAAAUUGUUAGCUCUAAAAAUAGAUUCAGAGAAAGGGUGGACACAUGUUCCAAUUUUCUCAUAACAGUCCUGGGUUGUGCCUGUUAUCCUGGCAUAGUUAUUAAUCCUGUCCCCUUUCACUCUCAGACUCUCCUGGUUUGGAGGAUAAUUUCAUUCUAUUCAAAGAGGAAAUCUACAAAAAGGUGUCAUCAUCUAACCUGUACUCAUAUAAACAUUUUCCAGUCUCACGGUUCUGUGUACCUCUCCAAACCCCUCAAUCUUCUAAUCAUUUUGUGUAUUAUUUAUAGGAAAAGAGCACCAGCUAAAAUAUCUUGCCCUUGGAUUUCUUCAGCCAGCUGCUGAAGUAAUUUGUCUUAGUCUUUACUGAAGACUGAAUUGUAUCAUUAAGACUUUCUUCUAAGUCCUGUUAUUUUGACUUUUUGACUCACUCUGUGCCCUCUGAUACAUAAAGUAGCAAUAAUUUGUACAAUGAACCAUUGUAUUUGUUCACAAGAAAUUCUUCCUGUUCCUCACAUUUCUAUUCAUUUUCCUGAAGGUAUGUAUUUGAAAACUUGAAAAAUUGCCUGGCCCGGUUAUAGUUUAAUGGGAGCAUUUAAACAUACUUUUCCUACAAAGCUUAUCAGUUAGUUACUUAACCUUUAUGAAUAGGUUAAAUAUUUUCCACAGUAUUUAUAUAAAUAUGAUACUUGGUUUCAAGUUAAAUCUAAUAAAAAG
rnacentral:lncRNA from 1 species